AACGGCAGUUACUGCUGACGGAUAACCGUGAAUCAACACGGGUGCUGUAACUGCCUGCCCGCCGAAUCAAGCGGACACCUUAUGCCGACCGUCUGGGCAGUCCGA
rnacentral:ncRNA from 1 species